ACUGCAAAGCUUCUGAUGAAAAAAGGAACCGACCCCGAGACCAGGAACUUCAAAAAUGACCUGCCGUCUCAGCUGGUACCUGAUGGACCCGUAGGUGAAAAGUUAGGGUGUGUAAAUCUGUUGAUGAUACUGCAGUCACCUCCUUUUUCACAUGUGAUAAUCUGGACUGACUUUAUUUUUCAGGUGCAGAGGAUCCUGAAAAGGAAGUAUUGUCAAACUUAAGUGAAGCUCAGAAACGCUGUCAGUCUGACGGUCCGGUCUAUCACAGGAAUAUUUGCCAGAAUGAGGCAGAUGACGGUCGUGUCAGUGAAACAUGCCCAGAGGACAAAUAUUUGCAUAGUUUGUUUUCAGACUUUUUUAUGACUUACUGUUUUAAACAUUUAAUCAUGCUUUUGGUUUUUAAAUAAAACAGUUUAAUUAGAUUUCAACUUCAAAAGUUUACAUGAUACUUUUGAAUAACCGC